rnacentral:rRNA from 1 species
CGUUGGUUCUAUUUUGUUGGUUUCUAGGACCGCCGUAAUGAUCAAUAGGGACGGUCGGGGGCAUCAGUAUUCAGCCGCGAGAGGUGAAAUUCUUAGACCGGCUGAAGACUAACUACUGCGAAAGCAUUUGCCAAGGACGUUUUCGCUGAUCAGGAACGAAAGUUAGGGGAUCGAAGACGAUCAGAUACCGUCGUAGUCUUAACCAUAAACGGUGCCGACUUGGGAUCGGGCGCUGCUGAUUUUACGGCGCGCUCGGCACCAUUCGAGAAAUCAAAGUGCGUGGGCUCCAGGGGGAGUAUGGCGGCAACGCUGAAACUUAAAGAAAUUGACGGAAGGGCACCACCAGGGGUGGAACCUGCGGCUUAAUUUGACUCAACACGGGGAAACUCA